GGAACCUAAAGUGAAUUAGAAAAUAAUCUUUUCCAAUAGCAACAUAUCUGUGAGACACUCAAAACUCAGUAAACAAUUCUAUACACGAAUAAAAUCGCCAAAAAAAAUGUAUAAAAUGUAAAUUUAUAUCUAAGCACUAGAAAAGUAUCUGCAAAUAGUUUCAACACAUCGCCUUGUUAAUGCCAAGGUUGUCAGUCCGACAAAAAGACGGACGACUUUAAAGCGAGCUAAUGGCCAUAAACAAUAUCUACGUGCUGAUAUAGCUUUAUCACAGAUUUGAUGUGCAUGUAAUGCUAAGGAUUGCCAACUCUAUGAGUGUAUGGGAGCGGGUAAUAAAAACUGUGGCGAUUUUUCGGUGUACAAAGAACCAAAGAACGUAGUCAGAGCCCGUCUCAGAGACAACAGCAAAAUGGCAAUAAAAACCUGACGUUGCGGCGUGCAAAACAAAGACAAAGAAAAAAGAAGAAACUCAGCCAUCAGCUGUCUGUCAGCUAACAACUACUGAAUUUAUGUCUUGUCUUUUGCUUUUGUGUUGCAUGCAUGGCUUAGAGGGAAUUUUUGUGCUGCUGCUGCUCAAAAGGGAACAGGAACUGACUUAUUUGGCCAGAACGACAGGCGGAUGUGCCGCUGUUGCUGCCCUUUUUGCAUUUGCAUAAAGUUCGCUUAUGAGUUUCGUGUUGGCAGCUGCAAGCGGCAGCUGCUUAAAAGCUUUUUAAGCCAAACUAAAAAAACAA